AGGGAACGUGAGCUGGGUUUAGACCGUCGUGAGACAGGUUAGUUUUAUCCUACUGAUGAGUUGUUCAUCGCUACAGUAAUUGAGGUUAGUACGAGAGGAACCCCUGAUUCACGCAAUUGGUAAUGGGGUUGCUUGAACAGGCAAUGCCCCGACGCUAUCACGUGUUGGUUUAGGGCUGAACGCCUCUAAGUCCGAAACCAUGCUGGAUGCGCGAUGAAAGUUUAAAGAUGGUGUGCGUUGGUGCAGCGAGCUGUUGUAUGGAUUGGAAUGCCGGUAUGAGGGGCGGCUGUUAAAGGCCGCCUUGUGGAUGACAAUUGCAAACAUGCACGCCGUAGGAUCCUUUGUAGACGACUUGAUUGGACGUGGUAUUGUAAGCAUGAGAGUAGUCUUUGCACUCCGAUCUGCUGAGAUUUGGCCUCUGUUCC
rnacentral:rRNA from 1 species